AUGUCUACCACCUUUGAAUAUGCUCUGCUACACCGUGGAUACGACGUCUCUAUUACGAGUAAAUUGGGAGAAGGUGGUUUUGGUAUCGUAUACGCGGGAGUACGCUUGAACGAUAACGCUCCUAUAGCUGUUAAAUAUAUUUAUCACAAAGAUGUUUGGAGGUGGCAUACUGUGAAACAACCGUUUCAAUCGAAAAUACCAAUGGAAAUACACAUGUUGAAAAGAGUAAAUAAAGUUGAUGGUACUAUUAAGUUGUACGAUUGGUUCAAAAUUGAACACGGUUAUGUAUUGGUUAUGGAGAGAUCGAUUAAAAGUAUCUCACUUUAUUCAUAUAUGAAGACGCAUGUUCUCAACGAAAAAGAAAUUAUUAAUAUAUUUAAACGUCUCGUACAAAUAACUUACGACUGUUGGGUCAAAUGUGGAAUUAUUCACUGUGAUUUAAAAGAAGCAAAUAUACUCAUCAAUAAAGAAACAAUGGCAAUUACCAUUUUAGAUUUCGAUUUUGCAGUAGAGUGUUCAAAACGUCUUAGGAGAACAUACGCAGGAACACCACUUUAUGCGCCACCAGAAUGGUAUAUAAAUGGUAUAUAUUACCCCGAGAGUACCGUCGUAUGGACUCUAGGCGUUAUACUCUGGAAGCUAUUGUUCAGAAAAAGCCCUUUCAAGACAACGAAAGACAUUAGGAAAUUCGAAACUUUAGAAACCAUUGACCCUUUUGAAACAGAGAAACUGUUAUAUUCUUCAAAUGUUAUUUCUUUGUUAACGUCACUCAUGAGGAAAAAAAUAAACGAAAGGCCCGGUAUAGACGUACUUCACAAGUUAGCGCUAAGUCUUUGACAAGAACAAUUGUACGUUUUGAAAUAAAGUGUUUCAAUAAUCAAAAAAAACACACACAAAAAAUAUCUUGUGGAGGGUAUUGCUCUUAAAAACGUAUGACAUUUAAUUAUUACAUUUUCUUUCGUAUUCCUUCACAUUUCUAUACAAUAUACAUAUAGACUUUUCUUUGCGUUAUUGUUAUUGUAAAGAAAAAAUAGAGUGUGUGGAGUGGUAUAUAAAAAAGACCCACCCCCAAAAAAGAGAGUGUGGGGGUGUGUAUAUGUUGUCUAUACGAAGUUUACGUGCUUUUUUUGUGUAUGUGUGUGUCUGUGUGCGUCUGGGUGUUGGUAGAAUGAAAGAAAGAAGAUAUUGGAUGAGAGUGUACCAUGCUCUCCGAUUGGAUGGGUACGUUAAUAAAACAAUAUUUAUCCCUUCCAAAAGCAUUUGUUUAUAUUGUGGCUGUUAUUUUUUUUUCGUAUAGUAACACGAGACGCUACGCAUAUUUGCCUAUAUAUAGGCCGUACAUGUAACUACGAAUAUCAGUCUACGAGAUGAACUUCCCUAAAAAGGAUCGUAAGCGUAAGAGUGACAGUUCGUUCGGCGCACGGACUUCUUCUUCUUCCGAGCCUAUAGCCGUACUCGUACCAUCGAAUACGUCGUUUUCAGAUUCACCGUCUAUGCAACUGCAAACUAAAAGUAAACGUCGUCGAAGAGGGAAUAGAAGUUCGUCGAUUGAUUUGAAUGAAGAAAAGGUUAAUUCAUUGUUUCUCAAGAAAAGAAGUUUGACGAGAUGUGCUAAGCAGUAUGGAAGCGUAUUGCCAAUCUUCGAAGAACUCCCAUCGGAUUGGGAUAUGCUAACUUUUAAAAUAGUGAUGCCUAACAACAUUAUAAAAGAUUUAAUUCAUUUAACAGUCUUUUAUUCGACUCAGGAUUUUAUACCAGCAAUAGAUACGUCCAUGUAUCUACCAUACAUGGAUGUUAAGUUAAUUAGAGAUCUUCAAGAAAGAUCCGUUGCUAAAAGUUUGAUGGUAGUGCUCAAGAAAACCAUCGAGAAGUUAGACUCGAAGAUAUUGUUGCCACUAAGAAAAGAUAUGGAUAGAAGCAAAUUAUUUUACUACCGCUCUGGGAAGAAUAUUUCAAUUCAACCUAAUGUUUUGCAACCCAUUAUAUUAGAGAGUAUUACAGUUAUGAAACCAGUAUGGAAUAUUGGUUUUAAUCUAUUCAAUGGAUAUACAUUACCGUAUUAUUAUCCGUACAAAUAUAUAGCCACCAAGACUCACCGACCCACUGUUGGGAACAGUGCUAUGCUCGAAUAUUUUAUGAUACCAGCAUUAACGUCGCAGGAGGUCCGAAACAACAUCAAGGAAUUCUUACACGAAACUCCAUCUGAUCAACAGGACGUUAUGGUGAAUCAAAUCGUAGAAAGCAUCAAGACGGUUUGUACCCUUCCCAUGUUUACAACCGACGACGAUUUAUGGAACGUGUUUUCAAAAUUCGUCAUCAGUCAGAAAAACGAUUUGGAUUCCAUGAGCAGCAUUGUCGAAAGUAUGUGUGCAUAUCCAGCCAUUUGGGAACAACCACACGUGUACGCAAGCGGUGUGCGGAGUGUGAAUGCGCAAGUUCCUUGGGACUUUCUGAAGGAAUUUUUGACUAAUAUUUUUUUUUCGUGUAAAAAUGAGGGUAAUCAACUGGACACUUCUUUACUCGAAGCUUCUUUUUUCUUUUACGUCAUUUAUAGUGUAAUUCGAUACAGUGAUCCCAUGGAUUGUACCUUUAUUAUCGAAUGCACAAAUGUACAAGUAUUGGCAGAAUUCUAUUCGAGGAUGCGACCUAUACUAAAUCCCUUUAACAUGAAGCUGAAUACUCCAGCUUCCUUAUUUAUGGUGAGGCAUAACAUAAAGUCUAUCGUCGAUUCAAACUUUGGCACUGUCAAUGAGAACAUGAAACAUGCACAAGAAGGCAAACGCACUGCUGUGGGGUUCGCUCACGUUGCAAGGCAUACUAUUACAAAUCCAAAAACCUCUAAUAGAGGAAAUAAAAAAAGUUUCAUAUUUCAUCUUACGAAUUUUUGGGAAUCUGGUCAAGACGAAGCCUUUGCCAAUAGGUUCUUGCACCCACAAAUCUUCAUUGAUAUAAUGAGUACUCUUAUGAGUAUUUAUACUAAUACAAACGUUGAAGACAUUACGGACACUCGUCUACAUAUGUGGUCUAAACAAUGUCUUAGUGAAGUACUUAAUUCAAUCCGUAUAUUCACGAGAAUAAUGCCAUCAAGCAACAAUUGUGUCGCCGCUGCUGCUGCUGCUGCUGCUGUUAAAAGCAAUGAGAAGGAAACACCUCAAACUUCUGCUGCAAUACAAGUGUCAACGGACGAUCCAGAGGAUCAGGUUUUUCAAGAUGUGCGAGAUCGCAUUAACCAAUUGACAGAAUCUUCGGAUCCCUGGGGAGGAUGUGACGAAGACAUGGCAUGGACAUCGAGAAUCGACAACGCUUCGAAUGAAAAACCAAUGCUGGGGGUAGGGGGUUCCGAAGAGGAAAAAGAAGGGCUCGAUAAGCCGACCGAACAUGGUGUUGACAACGCAGUAGAAGAUGGCAAGGAAUAUCAGGCUGCGAUUACCCAAGUUCGCAAAGACAACGAAGAAGAGUGCAUAACACAAGUUGUAAAAAGCUAUGACGGACAACCGAUAUGCCAGGAAGAGUCCCAAUAUCAUGGAAGCGAAAGAGCGCUUAUUGGUAACGAUGGCAUAGUUAUUCAAGAUUGCCAAUACGAUAAAGAGUGUGAUAUACAAUUCAUGACUAAUGGGGAAGAAGAAAUGUGUGACAAACAUAAGCGCUACUCUGAAGCAGGCGCUUGUGACAACGUUGAACUCUAUGAUAAAGUUAAUGGAGAUAUCGACGACCGACCAGCACCCCCUUUGGUGGACGAGGUGUCCUGGCAACCACCACUCAAUCUUGACGAUGUUCUGAAACAAUCCAUUGCCGAGUGUGAUUUACCUUGCAAUGAAGAUGUCGGCUGUAACGAAGAUGCACCCUGCAUGCAAGGUCGAAUCAAUUUUGACGAGAUCUAUUUACGUACACCAUGUCCUAGCUCGUCAAAAGAACCUGGUACAUCGAUUAUCAACAGGGUGGCUAUUAAUAACGUAUGCAAGCGAAGAUUAGCAGAAGAAUUAUUUCAAGGUAUCCAUACAGACUCUGAGUUUAAUUUUGACCCUUGAUUACUAAAGAGAGGAUGAACAAGUCUUAUAUUGAAGAUCUAAUCAAAUACGGUUUUGAUAGUAAUGACAGUAUUGACGAUUGUUUAUCACAAUCGUCAAUAUAUGAUACAUUAAUUGACGAUAGCGUCUAUAGUGAUACUUAUUGUGACAAUGCGGACGAUGAUAAUGACAAUACAUCGUAUUAUAAUCGAGUCAA